rnacentral:lncRNA from 1 species
GUUGCAUUAGGUGCGGGAGAAAGCUUGGGCAUAGCUGAAAGAGAACUAAGAUACCUGACGCAUGAAGGAUCUCUGAACAAGAAUACUUCCAGACAGAGCGGAGCCAAAUCGACCCAUAGAGGUAGCAGUCAGCCAAAUGGAGACUGCAAAAGACCUGGGGCUGGGGAGGAAAGAAGUGCCCUCUGGGCCUCAGUGGCUGCCAGGGUGAUCUGCAAUCAGCAAUAAAACCCAGAGGGUAGAACCCACUGUGAAAUGAGGAGCAGGCCAGACAGACUCCAAGGUAUGCCUGUGUACUACUUGUGUGCAGUGUCCACGAAUGCCAGAGAGGGUGUUUGAUCCCCUGGAACUGAAGUUGCAGGCGGUGGUGAGCCACCACGUGGGUGCUGGGAUUUGAACCCUAGUCCUCUGGGAGGGUAGCCAGCACUCUAAACCACUGAGCUGGCUCUCCAGACCUCUAAUUUAUUAUUUUGGUAGUUGUCUGCAUUACACUAAGUUCUAGUAGGGGGCAAUGGUGGACGCCUACAAGGAGGAGCAGCUGGAUCCUCAGCAGGUGAAGGGCUUCCUGGACAAGAAUGAAAAGCUGACUGCUCCCUGAUGUCGCCGUGGAAGGAAAGAACCGCUUCAGACAGCUGCUCUCCACACACUUCCCCUCCCGUGGGUGGCACCGCGUGCCUGUGUUCACACACUCACCACAUGUGCACACAACAGUAACGGCAAAGAAGGGACAUCAGCCUGGACAGCUGUAUCACCUACAGGACCAUAAGUGUUUCUUCUGAUCCAGUUGUCACUCUGAGUUGAUGCCCUUUGCAGGUGGCAGGGGCUGGAGAGUGGCUCAGUGAAGAGCACUUGCUGCAACUUCCACAGGACUAGAGUUCUGGUCCCAGCAUCUACACUGCACAGUAGCAGAGCUACUCGUUAUAGCGCUGGCUUCAGGGGAGCUGAUGCCCUCUUGUGGCUUUCACCGGUACUGCAAUGCAUCCACUACCAUAGCUCUUUGAGGAAUAGAAUUUGAUGUUGCCAUCCAGGCACUUCAGUAUCCUGAAGAUCCAGUUGCUGAGGAAACUGAGGGAAGAGACCUACCACGAGGACACACAGAGACUAAGUAACCCAGCUUCACUUGGACUGAGUGAGACCCACUCCCCUUCUGACAAUGCACAGUAGCCUACUGCCUUCUGCACUGACUACGUGCACACUCAUCCCUCUCCAAACAGUGGAUCUGGCUUCCUCAGAACCUCCUCAAACCCCUGCCUUCCAAGCACUGUGUGUACUCUCUGAAGAGUAGUACAGAUUUCUCACUCCUAAUGACAAUCACAUUAGACCGUUUCUACUUAACUUUCCUCCCAAUGUAUCCAGUAGGAAGAAGAGAAGCGCCGGUUUCUGGGGUAUACACGCGGAGGCACAUUGUGUCUGUUGAGAGACCUUGGAGGUAGACCUUUACCAUCUUCUGCCUGUAUAUAGUUGCGCGUAAAUAUGAUUAGAGUAAGAUGCACUAUGUGAAGAGGCACUCAGUAUGACAUACUCUACCAAACUACAAUGUAACUAGCUGCGGCAAGCUCCUGUCUGCACAACCUCACUGCCUACCGUGGAUGCACAACUGGGAGCCAAAGUAAAACCUUAGGUGGCUCUUGUCAUUUGUUGCAGCGAUGAGAAAAGUGUUAGUGUGUGGCUAUGACCUUCUUUAUAUGUUUCUAAAAAGACAGUGUGCUGGGGGCAUAGGUCAUGGCAGGGCAUGUUCUCGGCAUGGCAGAGGUUCUGAGUUCAAGUCCCAGCACUGUGGGGGGAAACCCCAGAAAAAGCAAAACCAGGAUUAGUGAUGGGUGUGGGUCCUGGGGAGAACUAAGGUUGGUGGAGAGCUUGCUUAGCAUGUGUGGAGCCCUGGGUUCCAGCACUUGAGGAGUAAGGGGACAAGAUUAGGAGUUUAAGGCCAUCCGGGCGACAGAGACUCUGAGGUUAGUCUGGGGUGGGAUGGGGAGACACAGAGACAGAGAAUCUAGUUUUGUAUUACUGUUCUGGGAGGAACAGCUGACUAAGCGGCAGGAAACGGGGUGACCUCUCCACUGAGGCUCACGGGAAGGAGGAGGUGAGGCAGGGUGGGCAGGUUUAACCUGACAUCAUUUGAAUGGUUUCAGCAAACACAGGACAUUAGUUGCCAUUCUGUGUCCAGACGAGGCUCAAGGGUGAUAUGGUCGGUGGUCUGGAGUGUGAGCCCAAGAGAGAAGUGGCUGAGGGAUUAAUUUGACCUUAACAGGCAACCCUAGAGGGCAGACCUCUAGUCAGAGCCUCCUGUUUGAAUCAAAUGGGUGUUAAAAAGAAAAGCUAUCACAGAGCUGCCGUUAGGCCUAAUGACUUGAGUUCAAUUUCUGAGAGGAAAGCUAACUCCUAUAAGGCAUUCUCAAACCAGUGUGAUGAAUUCAGGAUAUCUCUGGUGACAUGGCCUCUGCUCACUGCAGCCUUAGUUCUACACAACAAUCGAACCGUGCACUGGCGACACCGAACAGAGCCAAUGAACACUGCAUAUGAAACUUAAUGAUUUACGUACAGAAAAUGCACCUUUAACACAUGUCUACCCCUAUUUCCCAGCAUGCAUCAACCCAUCUUUGUAUUGUAUUGGUUGGAUGUGUUGGUUCUUUGUUGGCUUAACAGUGCCUCCUCUGGCAAAGGACCCAGCACUCAUAUCAGGGGGCUUGCAAUUGCUUGUAACUGCAGUACAGGGGAUCUACCCUCCUCUGGUUGUACCUAUACACACAGUACACAUAAACUCACACAGGCUCACAACGCACACAUAUACACACAAGCUUAAAAAUAUUUUAAAACUGCUGCUCAAGUUGCAUCUUUUAAAAUUCAGAAAGAAAAGAUGGGGCUUGGGAACUGGCUCAAUGGUUAAAGUACUUCUUGCACAAGACGGACAACCUAGUUGAGAUCUCUAUAAGCCACAUUACAGAAAAGGGAGAUGUCAAAGGGUAUCUAUCUGUUACCCCAGCAUUGACAGGGAAAUGGGGAACAGGAGACUUUCCAGCAGCUCCCAAUGGAGCCUGGCAAAUACAGUGGAGAAUGAGACCCAAUCUCAAAGUGGAAGGUGAGGACCGUCAGCCCACUGACUUCCACAUUGUGUACUGAGAGUCAGACACACACACACACACACACACACACACACACACACACACACACACACAGAGAGAGAGAGAGAGAGAGAGAGAGAGAGAGAGAGAGAGAGACACACAAAAUUAGAAUAGAAUUUCCAGGGGUUUCUGAAAAUGGCUCUAACACAUCUACCAUUUGUAUUAUGCAUUAUGUGAAGUGAAUACCGACAGCUACCUUCAGCCCAUAGCAUCAAAUAUUUAGCUAACAUUUAACUAGAUAAACUAGCACAUGGGCCUUAUUAGUACACAACUUUGCUUUUUGUCUUAAAUGAGUGCUGUGGUGGCUUGAUGAGAUGUUGGAAGAUGUUGGGGCUGUGAAAUGGCUGUCCAAGAGAGCUGCACACACGAAGUGGAGCCAGCCCACCAGAUGCACGUAUGCUGCAGACGGCAAGCCUGGAGGGGCAGAGGCACCUAAGCCCUUUGACACAGGACAUGGGGCUAGAGAACUGAGUUCAUCCUGCUGGGCUUCGGUCUUCCUUUCUGGUUCAGUAUGUUCUCUGUGCGGACUCCUUCCUUUCAGAACAGUGAUAUAUGUCCUGUACCACUGUAUGGGGGAAGUCUGUUAUUUGCUUUUCGGUUUUACACAUCGCCCUGAGUCUCAGAAGAGACAUUUGAUGUUCAACUUCACGAACUUUGCAUUUUUAUGAGGUCACAAGACUAUGGGGGAGGCCAGGGAAUGGAAUGCGGGUGUUGGAAUGAGACACCACCGACAACCUGACACAUUUGAUUGCUUUCUCUGCAGUUGGCGAUGCUGUGUGGGGAGUCGUAGGGUGUGUGGUCAUGUCGGAGCACCUGCCUGUCACUGAGGGAGGCUUUCUGGGUUUCACUUGCCCCAUUGCUAGUUUUCUGUUUCCUGUCUGCAGCUCAAAAUGUGAGCCCUCAGCUUCUGCUCCAGGCUGCUGCCAUGCUUCCCUCUCAUGACAGGCUCUGACUCCUCUGGAACCAUAAGCGCAAAUAAAAGAAAGCUGCCUCGGUCAUUGUGGGUUGUUUAGUUUAGUUUUGUUUUGAGACAGGGUUUCUCUGUGUGGCCCUGGAUGUCCUGGAACUCACCCUGUAGACCAGGCUGGCCUGGUCAUCAUGAUUUAUCCCAGCAAUAUAAAGGUAACUAAUACAAAUGAUAAAAUUAUGUUUAUACCAGACAAUGUUUUAAAAUACAAUGAUUUACUAUCAAUAAAUGUCUAGUGUGUGUACCUAUUUUCU